AGCAAACAUUGUAUAGAACUCUAGCUUGCAAAUCAUUCUUUUUUUAAAAAAAAGUUUUAGUUGUAGACACACACACAAUAGCUUUAUUUUAUUUAUUUAUUUUUAUGUAGUGCUGAGGAGCAAAUCCAGUGCCUCACAUGUGCUUGGCAAAUGCUCUACCACUGAGUACAACCCCAGCCCCACAAAUCAUUCUUUUUUUUUAUUAUUUAAAGAGAGAGAGAGAGAGAGAGAGAGAGAGAGAGAGAGAGAGAGAGAAUUUUUUUAAUAUUUAUUUUUUGGUUUUCGGUGAACACAACAUCUUUAUUUUUAUGUGGUGCUGAGGAUCAAACCCAGUGUCCCGUGCAUGCCAGCCUCACAAAUCAUUCUUUUACAUAAAAUUUCACUUAAUCCUUACAUCAACCUUAUAAUAUAUUAUUUCCACUUACAUAUGAAGGAAUACAGCUAAUUCCUGCUAACUAACUUUUGCAAAAUCACAGAACUAACUAGUAAAUAGAGAAUUCCCUAGACUUGACCCCACACCUUUCCCAGUUAGCAAAAAUAAUCAGUGGUUAGGUUAAUUGGAAUCUGAUGUCUCUAUCAUGUUUCACUUUGAAUUAUUCUUCACCAUUUAAAGUGAAAGACACUUUGAGGUACCUCAGACAGUUCACUGACUGUUCUGUCAGCUAAGAGAGAUGGGGACAGGAGACAAUUUGC
rnacentral:lncRNA from 1 species